rnacentral:rRNA from 1 species
GUGGGGAAUCUUGCGCAAUGGGCGAAAGCCUGACGCAGCCAUGCCGCGUGAAUGAUGAAGGUCUUAGGAUUGUAAAAUUCUUUCACCGGGGACGAUAAUGACGGUACCCGGAGAAGAAGCUCCGGCUAACUUCGUGCCAGCAGCCGCGGUAAUACGAAGGGGGCUAGCGUUGCUCGGAAUUACUGGGCGUAAAGGGCGCGUAGGCGGACAGCUUAGUCAGAGGUGAAAGCCCAGGGCUCAACCUUGGAAUUGCCUUUGAUACUGGCUGUCUUGAGUUUGAGAGAGGUGAGUGGAACUCCGAGUGUAGAGGUGAAAUUCGUAGAUAUUCGGAAGAACACCAGUGGCGAAGGCGACUCACUGGCCCAAUACUGACGCUGAGGCGCGAAAGCGUGGGGAGCAAACAGGAUUAGAAACCCCUGUAGUCC